UACGUAGGGGGCUAGCGUUGUCCGGAAUCAUUGGGCGUAAAGCGCGUGUAGGCGGUCCGGUAAGUCCGCUGUGAAAGUCGGGGGGCUCAACCCUCGGAUGCCGGUGGAUACUGUCGGGCUUGAGUACGGGAAGAGGCGAGUGGAAUUCCUGGUGUAGCGGUGAAAUUGCGCAGAUAUCAGGAGGAACACCAAUUGCGAAGGCAGCUCG
rnacentral:rRNA from 1 species